GCUGCCAUGGGCUCCAGGCUCCUCAGCUGUGUGGCCCUUUGUCUCCUGGGAACAGGUGCGGCAGAUUCUGGAGUCACACAAACCCCAAGACACCUGAUCAGAGCAAGGGGGCAGCAAGUGACACUGAAGUGCUUCCCUAAGUCUGGACACCUCACUGUGACCUGGUACCAAGAGCACUGGACCAGGGACCCCAGUUCCUCAUUCAGUAUUAUAACACAGAAGAGCAGAGAAAGAGGGGACUUCCCUGGUCGAUUCUCAGCACAACAAUUUAGGGACUACCACUCUGAACUGAACCUGAGCUCCUUGCAGCUGGAGGACUCGGCCCUGUUCCUCUGUGCCAGCAGCGUACACAGCCCUGCCUGA